AUUGAACGCUGGCGGCAGGCCUAACACAUGCAAGUCGAACGGUAACAGGAAGAAGCUUGCUUCUUUGCUGAUGAGUGGCGGACGGGUGAGUAAUGUCUGGGAAACUGCCUGAUGGAGGGGGAUAACUACUGGAAACGGUAGCUAAUACCGCAUAACGUCGCAAGACCAAAAAGGGGGACCUUCGGGCCUCUUGCCAUCGGAUGUGCCCAGAUGGGAUUAGCUAGUAGGUGGGGUAACGGCUCACCUAGGCGACGAUCCCUAGCUGGUCUGAGAGGAUGACCAGCCACACUGGAACUGAGACACGGUCCAGACUCCUACGGGAGGCAGCAGUGGGGAAUAUUGCACAAUGGGCGAAAGCCUGAUGCAGCCAUGCCGCGUGUAUGAAGAAGGCCUUCGGGUUGUAAAGUACUUUCAGCGGGGAGGAAGGGAGUAAAGUUAAUACCUUUGCUCAUUGACGUUACCCGCAGAAGAAGCACCGGCUAACUCCGUG
rnacentral:rRNA from 1 species